CGAUUCGUGGGUUUGCUGGGCGAACUUGCGAUAGAGAACGGUUGGAUCUGAGGCACGGGACAGCGGGGAGGCACCGGGGCUAUGGUCUGCUAGGCGUUGUGGUUCUAGUGUUCGCUCAGCCGCAGCUGGAGAGUUUGGAACGUUGUUUAUAGUCAAAAUGGCAACACCAGGCCAAUCAAUCCAUCCGUAUGUGGAAUGUCAGAGAGCCUACUGGUCAGCUUAUAUGGUGUUUUGCUAUUUAAGCUUAUGAAGCAAGGUAUGUUCCUCUCUAUUGUGUUUUCAUCAUACAAAUUAGGAAAAACAUAGUUUCUUCACAUUGUGAAGUGAAGUGUAAUAUGUAGAACUCUGGUCUAUUAAGUAUAUCUGAGCUGAAUAUCCAGCCUUUUGACGAA